GGCGUAGUGCCAGAGUGGUUAAUGGGUCAGACUUGAAUCCCCUGAUUUGAUGUGAUCUGAUGGCUUCGGCCUCGCAAGUUCGAAUCUUGUCUACGUCG